AACGAACGCUGGCGGCAUGCCUAACACAUGCAAGUCGAACGAGAUCUUCGGAUCUAGUGGCGCACGGGUGCGUAACGCGUGGGAAUCUGCCCUUGGGUUCGGAAUAACAGUGAGAAAUUACUGCUAAUACCGGAUGAUGUCUUCGGACCAAAGAUUUAUCGCCCAGGGAUGAGCCCGCGUAGGAUUAGCUAGUUGGUGGGGUAAUGGCCUACCAAGGCGACGAUCCUUAGCUGGUCUGAGAGGAUGAUCAGCCACACUGGGACUGAGACACGGCCCAGACUCCUACGGGAGGCAGCAGUGGGGAAUAUUGGACAAUGGGCGAAAGCCUGAUCCAGCAAUGCCGCGUGAGUGAUGAAGGCCUUAGGGUUGUAAAGCUCUUUUACCAGGGAUGAUAAUGACAGAACCUGGAGGAUAAGCUCCGGCUAACUCCGUGCCAGCCGCCGCGGUAA
rnacentral:rRNA from 1 species